AAGGAAAUUUCUGGAACCUUCUAUUCUGCGGCGCUACACAGCGAGCGGAGGGCUGAGGACUGCGCAGAUGGUGCACGGGCAGAGCUCUUCGGUCCGGUUCGUCUUUCCCACCGACCAGCAGUGAAGAUGGCAGCUCUGCCUGGAAGUGCUGAGGACACAACCAGCUUUGAGCUCGGUCCUUCUGGACGAGGAAGUCUCCUGGUUAUGCAGUGGAGUGGUAACUUUGCUUUCUCAUACGGCAGGGAACGUUAUUCCGUAGCCUUUCAUCAUGUCGAGGCUUAAACAAGUUUAAGGAUAUGGUAGCAUAAGCAUUGGAUCUCUGUUACUCACUCGUUGACAUCUCAAGCGUCAGGUCCGGUUGUUUAGCAACAACCGCUGGGUUCACAACGGGCUCAGACGUUCCGCGGCCGCCGUCCCCAUUACUUCAGCAGCAGCCUGUCCUCCGACCGGCAGCCUGAGGGAGAGGGAGAGAGAGAAGGGCUGUAUUUACACAGGUACGCCCGCCCCGACCGAAUUUUGGCGGUUCGGUUCCGAAGGCCGCACGCGCUGCGGUUUUAUCCCCGCCGCCAUUCUUUUGCGCAGCACCGUAGAGGGGAGGAUGCCGUCUCCCACGGCAGCGCGGUGGUAGGAGCCGGGAGGGAAGAAGAAAACAGACAGUAGGUGCCACUCCCCACUUUUUUUUUCCUCUUUCCCAUCUCCACCUUUCUUGCCUCCCCUCCUCUUCUGCCGGAUUCCACAGGGAAUUUCAGACUCUGACUGCAGUCAUCACAACCCCUCCUGACUCACUGAGCCUUCGCUGGCUGUAGCUGGCUCCCUUGGAGCAUCCUUGCCUCCUGCAGCGCCAGUUCCGCAGAGCAGGGGAACAACAGGAAUAGCAGCAACGACGGUGGUCCCUGCAGCAAGACAGACAGGCAUAAACACACACACAUACGGGAACAGCACAGGCAGCCGCGGGGGUUAUUCUGUGCAGCCAGGAGCUGGACUGAGAAAUGAUGCUGGCUUGCAUGGAAGACGGGUGGGUUGAGUCUGUUUUACCGAGUGCUGUCUGCACGGACAACCCUGCCCAUUUUUCCCCAUCACCAUUGCGGGGCAGAGGGCCUCGUUAAUGUGUAAAGCUAGUGGUUCUUAAUGGCAUUUCUCAGUCCUUUGAAAGGAGGUGCAACUGGCAACCCCUAUACUUGCCCAGGCAUAUACGUACUUUUCGAGUUUCCAUGUUCAGCGGAGGGAUGCAUUUGUUUUUAUCCCUUUCGUUACUCUUUUUGCCACGGUGAUAGUUUAAUUGUGACUAGAUGCAGGGAGGGUAAGGAGACAGAGAUAAAAGAGGAGUUAUUUCAAUGUUAAACUUGGGCUGUAAAUCUCAUUACUCAGGAAUUGAGGUUACUGUCAGCAGGUAAAUCUGUGGGACUGGUAAGAAACAAGGCUAAGAAGGGCACACGGCAUAUUUCUGUAGGACAGGACGGCAGCGAUUUUGCGCAUAGGGCUGGUAUCGUUACUGUACGUUAGCUGUACAUGGCCGACUGUUCCAUGAUGGUUUCCUGCGUAUUGCCGCAAAAGGACUUGGGAAAGCUGUGAUUUCUUCCUCCCUCCGACACUUGUGUGUGUGACAUUGUGUAAGCUGAUUCAUUUUUCUGUAUUUUGGUUUCCUUCCUUUGUAAAGUGGGGGUUUACCGUAUCUCUCAGCCUUAGUGCGGCAUUAUGACGCAGUGUUUGUUAAUGCGUUGGGUCUGUUGGCAAAAUACAUGCAAUUUUCUUGGGA